GACGCGGGGUAGAGACAUUCCGUGUGCGGGGACCCGCUGACCCAGAAGAUGCAAGGAGCCUCCUGUGUGUUCAGCAACGCCAGAGCCCCGAAGGCACAGAGGGCCCUGUGGAAAGCACAGACGCGGAUGCUCGAUGCCUGCUGUCCUCUGCCCACUGCCCAGCUCUUGGGCUGCUCUGUGCUCUGCACGGGCCACACCUGCCGUGCCCAGCCCCCACCCUGCCGCUGCUCUCCCCUCCCCACGUGGAGUGCGUGGAGCAGAAGGGCUGGGGUGGAGCCCCAGGGCUGCUCCUGCUGCUCCAGGUCUCCAGGGCGGAGGGAAACACGCCUUUCCCCCAACCCUCCACGCCCAGCUCCUCUGCUCAGGCACCAGUUAGGAACUCAAGCCUCCCCCAGAAGCUCCUAAAAUCUCCUGGUGCACAAAGAGCCAUUGACAGUUCCCUGGCUCCAGGCAAGGCCGACAGUCUUCCUGACCAGGAGUGUCCACACCCUGUGGCUGGAAUCGGGGAGUGGGACUCUGAUGGUUGAGCUUCAAGCCCACCCUGGUGAACACAUCAGGAUGUGUGGGGACCUCUCCCGAGAAUUGCAGGCAUCCUCACAUCCUGGUUCCUCCCACCCGCCAGGCAUUGAGCAGAAUCUCCAACACCCAAGUCAGUGACCCCAGAAGGCCCAAGGGGCUCUCCACAUUUCUUCUAGCUCAUUCCAUCUUUAGCCACCAGUGCUGGAACCGAGGAGACCUCUUCCUGGGCUUAAUCAUUUCAGCAAUGCAGCGACAGAAUGACCCAGCAAGAGGAAGUGGGGUUGGCAGAGAGCCUUCCGCCUGUGCUGGAGAAGAGAGACGCCUCACCUGCCCCAGAGCGCCACCCACCCUGAGAGACAGCCAGGACAGCAGGCGCUGGGCCCACGGGGCUCCUCUGCGAAGCCCGAGGCGGCUCAUACAUAUGGAGCGGCGGAGAUUACAGCAUAAAUUUGAAUGUUAUGAAUGUGCAUGAGCGACAGGCAGGAAGCUCACCUCGCCAAGGCAGGAAAGGCGCUGCUUCCCGGGUUGUGUACAGGAAGCUUUUGUCCCCUGGAUCCUCAACUGUGCCCACUCUGUACCCAAUUGUGUCCCACAGAGAAGAAAGACAGCAGGGAAAGCUUGCCCUUGCCCAGCGGAAGAGACAGGCUGGACCAGGACAGCCAGUCUGCAAGGCAGCGACUACAAACGCACGGCCAGAGGUUCCUGGAAGACCACGUGGAGGAAGAGGCCACAGCUGCCAACAGAGGGGGCCAGCGCCUCAGUGUGACAACACCAGGGUGGGCCUUCCAGCUUGGAAGCACAAGUCCAC
rnacentral:lncRNA from 1 species